rnacentral:rRNA from 1 species
AAAUGAAUAGACGGGUGCCCGCACAAGCAGUGGAGUAUGUGGUUUAAUUCGAAGCAACGCGAAGAACCUUACCAGGGCUUGACAUCCUGCUAACGAAGUAGAGAUACAUCAGGUGCCCUUCGGGGAAAGCAGAGACAGGUGGUGCAUGGUUGUCGUCAGCUCGUGUCGUGAGAUGUUGGGUUAAGUCCCGCAACGAGCGCAACCCUUAUUGUUAGUUGCUACGCGAGAGCACUCUAGCAAGACUGCCGUUGACAAAACGGAGGAAGGUGGGGACGAGGUCAAAUCAUCAUGCCCCUUAUGUCCUGGGCUACACACGUACUACAAUGGCGGUCAACAGAGGGCAGCGAAGGCGCGAGCCGGAGCCAAUCCCCAAAAGCCGCCUCAGUUCAGAUCGCAGGCUGCAACCCGCCUGCGUGAAGUCGGAAUUGCUAGUAAUCGCAGAUCAGCAUGCUGCGGUGAAUACGUUCCCGGGCAUUGUACACACCGCCCGU